UUGUUUUAAUGUAUAUUUACAUGAAAUUUGUUUUUUCUUACUAGAGAAGAUGAACAAAGGCUGAAUCAAUCCUAUCAUACAAAUUCAUGUGAUAGUAAAAGACAAAGGAGUCUUAGAGAGGCAUCAUCGUAAUUCCCUGUUUUUUGUUGUCUGAUUUUUACCCAAGUGUUUCAGCUGACAGUUUUGAAGACUUUGUGCAUUCAGUUACUUAUAUGCCUUGUGUCAGUUAUGUCUUGCUAUUAUAGGUGGCAGACUUUCGUCAUUCGUGUCCAAGUUUUUGUGAUUUGUCAUGGAUAGCAGCCUUGUAUUAUUCAUGUUCAUAUCUCCACCUACCAAGCUACUGUGAGUCAUGUCCAUGUCUUGGUCUUUGUAAUUCUUUAUAAAAUACGUUAAUUUUGCAUGAAACUUACAAUCUAACCUGACUCACCAGGAUAUCUGCUGUCACAAAGUACCAUGUCUCAACAUAAGGAAACUGUUCUGUGGCUGCUGCAUGAAACCAAACUUUGAGAAUUAACAGAAUGUGGAUUGUGUAGAGUUCAACAUCUGUGAUCAAGUUUGUAUAAGAAGAUGUAGGUUAUUAUAAGGAAAUUGAAAUGUAAUGAAUAUUCUUCUUUGACUACUAGCCCAGGAAAGCAGUACAUAACCCUUGUGGUCCACCUUUAUAUCAUUACUAACACUACAUAAUAUGUUGAAACUUCAACAUCCAGAUUUCUUUUUUAACUGAUUUUUCAGAUAGUAUAACACAGUCUCAUUAGUAAAUCUUAAGUAUCUGACCAAUGGAAAACUCUGUAUCUUGACUCUUAACUUUGUGAUCAUUUAGUUUAACUAAAAGUCCUAAGAGCAUUGUGACAAUUAACAUCUAAGAUUUUUAGCUGGACUUGUUCAAUCUGUAUGCAUAUUAACAAGUUCAUCUCCAACCUCAUGCAUACUGACUGUUAAAAUAAUAGUAAUCAUGUCUUCACUGAAAACUAACCCUUUUAAUAAGUAUACUAGAUAAAACUUGUUCCUAUUCACAUUUACCAGUGAACUACUUUGAAAGUUUGUUGCUGUAUACUUAUAAUCAAAUUAUGAUUUGAAAGUUUCACUGUAACAUCCAAAAUACUGCAUCAACUACGCACCUUAAAAUUAAACCUCUUAUUUCUUCAAUGUACUUGAUUUACUAUAACAGGUUUCAAAGCUGCACCCUCAGUAAUCAUUAAAAUGGAUCAUCCACUUUGAAGUUUAAUCAGAGUUUCUCGGCUUCUGUACAAUAUCAGUAAGUGUGCUACGACACUUGUAACCUGAUAAGAAUUCUGUGUGUUUUACCUACAAAUAUUAAAGGAGAAACUUUGAAAGAGAUAGUGGGAAAGCUGAAAAUUAAGCAGUCACAGAGAAAACAUUAUCCAUGCAAGGAAACCUUGAUCUGCUGAUAGAAUCACAGCUUCUAAUCAAGCAAGUUGAUUUAUGAAGAAUGGAAUUUUAACUAUCAGAAGCUGAAAAGUGAACAGUUUAAAAGUAUAACGUAUAGUCAAGGAAGAGCCUGUAAGCAGCAGGUUAUCACUAUUAAUAGACAGAAGAUGAUUUAUGCCCAAGAAAAGAGGGUUAUGUUGAUGGAUGCUUCCAACCUUGAACAGAAUAAAAUGGUUCAGCAACUACAAGAGCAGUAUGAUCCUCAUAUGUCAAAUAUCCUAGGUAACCAUUCUAAUAAUGGUCUUUCGACAGAGUUUGUGAAUAUUAGUUGUAGGAAUAGCUCAAAGUUAUUAAGAUGUGUUUAAGCAUAGCUUUUACUAUAUUUGUCGAAAUUUCUUUCAAGAAGUAUAAAUUGUUUAUUAAAUGUAAAAACAAGAAAGUUAUUGGAUUAACAAAAACUAAAUGACAGUUAAUAACAAGAAUAUUAUCAGAUCAUUAUUAUUAAUAUCAUAACUAAUGUUUACAAAUAAAUUAUUUUAUCAGUCAGUUUUAGACCAAUUGUUAUUGGUUCUUUACAGAGAUAUAUACUUUAAGAAGGCCAUGGUGUUGUGAAAAAUAUUUAAAUGGUUAGAAUUUCAAUAUAAAAAAGGAAUGUACAAUAUAUAGAACAUUUAUUCACAAGUGUGUAUAUAUUAGGAUCAGUUUUGUUUUUUAAUUACCUGAGAGUGCAUUACAUUUUGCAAAUAAUGCCAUUUUAAUAAAGAAAAUGCAUGCAUGCAUAUAUGUAUUAAUUGUAAUACAUGAGGAAUUCCACAUUGAUAAAAGUUCAUUAAUGAUACCAUAUCAAUAAUGUUUCAAAAUAAAUUUAUCAUUUUAAUGACAAUCAGCUUGAAAAAUAUUAAAGAAAUUACUAAGAAGAGUGAGAAAUUUUACAGCUGAAAAAAAGUUAGUAAAUCAAUACAUUUUCCAAAAAUUAGGACUUGUAUGCUGUAUUAUGUCAUGAAAGUAGUCAUAUCAGUCAUUGACCCUCAGUAGAUGUGAACUUUGUAUCCUAGAAAGUUGUUAAAUCAUUAUUUUCUCUUUAAACUUGUUAAAUCUACAGCUUUUCUUUUCAUUUCUUUUCCUUCCUUAAAAAAGGAUGAAUACAGUUAGAGAAAGAGAGAGAUUUGUAGACUACUAAAUUGUCAAAAUGUAUUUAUAAAAUACUCAUUAGUUGCACUAGUCAUGACCUUCAGAAUAUUAAGACUUCUAAAGAUCUGUCAUAGUGAAUAAAUAGCUUAGCUGAAUGAACAGGGUUUUGUUAAGGAUAACAUUAUUACAUUAAGCCUCCAACUACAAGUAUUUAUCAUUUUUGUUGUUCUUGAAGAUCUACUAUCCUUACCGAGCACUACAUAUUCAGUCAACAAUUUAUUGAGAAGUGUUAUAAAUUGUAAAUAAAAGAAUUGUUUUAUUCAGUACUGAUCAAUGAGCUAUAUGAGUUGAAGUUACUACACCUUAGUUACAAGGUUAAAAAUAUAUAAACAGUUUUUAAACUAGCCAUGGAGUAUUCAUAUUUGAACAACCAUUGCGUGUCAUUUGUUCCACUUCAAAUCUUGAAUCUCAGUUGUAAUGUUAAUAAAGUAUAGGGUAGCAUUUAUCUUUAACCAUGCAAUUUGUAGAUGUGAUAGAUCUGUUUCUAUCCAACAAGAAAAUCUACUUUUCUGAAAGAACUUGCAAUUUAUUUCUCACUGGUCUAAUUUAUGUUGUGAUUAACAAUGGUAAAAAUUAUACUUUUGAAUAAUUGCAGUUUGGAAUCAGAUCUGUGAAUUCACAAUUAUAUUUUCUCCAAAAGAUGCAAGUUGUGAGUAAAGCAAAAGUGUUUUAUUAUUCAAAUACUUAAUGCUCUGCCUCAAAAUUUCAUUCAACAAUUUGUUUCUUAAAUUAAGCUGUACAGUUCCUAGUGCUGAUCAUAGCCAAGUGUGAAGGAUAUUAAAUCCUAAGUAAUGGCCAUAUAGAAAAUGCCAAUAAUAAGGGGUCAAUUAAGAAAAAAAGUGUUACAUUUUUCAUACAGUUGAAAUACAAAAUGUACAAGAAGUUCAUUGUAGUUUUAUAAUAUAUGCUAUUAGUUAAGGAUAAAAUGCUGUUAUCAAGAUUUAAGAAAUAUAUUCACACUGAUGGUAGUUAAACUGGUUCAGAGUAUUAGUUUCUCAACCCUGAAACAUAUUUUUCUACAUGUGUGAAGUUUUCACUUAUUUCUAACAGUAAGGACACUGUGUCAAUAAAAUGAAAGGUGACGAUUCAAAAUUGUCAUAAAAAUGUCCUCACCUAUUAGAAGAGCGUAAAUUGAGCAAGAAUCUGAAAAUAACUACUUUAUUUUAUUUUCUGAAAUAAAUGGUAAAAUUUUCAAAUAUUUUACAGUGGUAAAACUUCCUACUUGGUUUUUAUCACUCUUGUGCAUCGUAAUUUUUGUUUGAGCCAACUUGAAAGUUCCAAUAAAAAAAUAAAUAAUUUAGCUAUUUAAUAUCACUUACUUAAUUCAAUUCAAAAUAAUUUGCAAAGUUCUUUCUAUUUUAUACUAUUUCAAUCAAACAUUUUCUCAAAGAAUUUUAAUGUUAAGAAAAAUAUUUGAAACAGUUACACCUACAGAUAAAAUUAUAGGUUUUGGUCAAAUGCAGUUACUUUUCCAAACGUUCAACUGAGGUUAUAUCCAGUUAGCAUAUAUGUACAUGAAAAUGACUAAGUUUGGGUAAGAAGUAUUUUAAGCUGAGUAACUUAAAUGUGAUUAAUUACAUCUUGAACUUUUUGGUUAUCAAGGCAUCCAUUAGAAUUAAGAAGUUUUGUUGAUUAGAAAACAGUAAAAGAACUUCAAAAAUGUUCAUAAAUAUAAGCUUUUUGAAUGUAUGGUUGAAUUCCUUCCAAGAUAAGAUGAAUAUUUAUUAAAUAUAUUGAAAUGUUGAAGUUUCUAAACAAGGGAAACUGCUAUCUUGUAUAUAUAUGUUUCAUUGUUUACAAGUAUGCAUAUAAAUGCAUACAAUAGUAAAGAGUGUAAAGUAAUUGUUUUGUUGUUCAACUUUUGUUAUAAUGUAAGAUAUGUAUAUUGAAAGGUUGUUUAAGUUACUUUUUGUGAAUGUAUAAACUACUGUUUGGAAGAGGGUUACACAAUUUUUGGUUUUCAAAUUAGACACUAUAAAUUAAAUUUUUAUCUUGUAUAAAAUAUGUUUACUUGAAGAAAUUCCAUUCUGUGCUGUUGUAAAUAUUAAGUAUAUUUGACCAUGAAGCAUAAGUAGAUGCAUUGAUUUCUACAAGUUUAACAUUAAGUGUUUGAUUAUGAGAAACCUUAGAAUUGUGUAUUAUCAAAGGUUCAUUAAACAGGUUUGUAAACCA
rnacentral:lncRNA from 1 species